UUUCAUUUCAGCUGGAGUGAAAGUGAAAAUGAAAACUUUUGUGUUGGUCGUCUCGUUACGUUAGACAAUUAUUUUAAGUAAUUCUAAUUGUUUCUUACAUUGCAAAUUACACAUCACGAGUAUUCAUGAUCACUUGAUAAAACAAAGUCAGUAGGAUGGAUUCGUGUUUCCUGUGCGGCGUUAUUAUUCCUAACACAAAUUCCAGGAGACCGACACCACUUCUUGACCGCAAAGCCCGAGUGAUUUUCCUCCUCCGGAAUCUCCUCAAUCUCGGCCCCACCGCUUGUGAAGAUCUUCUACGAAAUUAUGGUCAUUCUGUCGACUGGAUUUCGCUUUGCUUAAAAUGUAGCCGCAUUGUGGCGCAAGGGAGUCGCCUAUUUGUCCAAAUUAAGUAGUUGGAAGACAAAUUGAACUCUGUGAAGGAACAAGCCAGGAGGAUGGUCAAGCGAGUUUGCGAGGAUGGCGACAACGAUGUGGGCGGCGGCGAUUCGGCGACAAAAACUAUUAGAAGAUAUUUCCUCACCAAUCUUGUUGGCGGAGUAGAAAAUGGUAAUGGAGUGGAUGGAUGGAGAGAGUUAUCCCCGAAACGAUAGUAAAAGUUGAGCUGGAUAAAUCUGUUGAGGAAGAAAUGGUUGAUGAAACCCAUGAUUUUGUUGGGAAUGAAAUCGUCCAGAAUUUUGUUACAGGAAAUGAUUCGCGUACUGCUCUAGCAGAAAACUUAACUCCCGUACCGAUAAGCACGCGUAAAACAAAGAAAGCCACCCAUUGUUAGGUAAAACCAAGUUGGCACGUAAUCUAUUUUAUGCCGAGGAACGUCGCAAACGCUGGGGACGAUUUGAACAGAUCGCAUUAAAAAUAAAGCUAAGAUCUAAGCCAGAUAUUCCCUGGCCUGAAAUUCUGGCCGCAAACCCUCCCCCUCCCACCGAAGAAGACGCCAAAUUCGAAUCAGCAGCCGAACUAAAAAGAUUAACUGAACUCGCUACGAAACACAAAAUCGUGAUCUUCGCGAGAAUCGAUAUUAUAUUAUACGGGAUUAUACCAUUCUCGAGACUAUACGGUUUUAAAGAAGGUGAAAAAGACGACGUAUGAAGAAGACAGUGAUUGAGAUGGGGAGUAAAAUGUUGAUAAAAUUAAAGUCAUUUAUUUGUAUUUGUAUCAAUUUUUAUUAAAACUAAGCUACACAUUUUUUAUGA